GAUGAACGCUAGCGAUAGGCUUAACACAUGCAAGUCGAGGGGCAUCACGUCUUCGGAUGGUGGCGACCGGCGCACGGGUGAGUAACACGUAUGCAACCUACCCAUAACAGGGGGAUAGCCCGUUGAAAGACGGAUUAAUACCCCAUAAUACAGGGGCACCGCCUGGUGCUAUUUGUUAAAGAUUUAUUGGUUAUGGAUGGGCCUGCGUUCCAUUAGCUAGUUGGUAAGGUAACGGCUUACCAAGGCAACGAUGGAUAGGGGAACUGAGAGGUUUAUCCCCCACACUGGUACUGAGACACGGACCAGACUCCUACGGGAGGCAGCAGUGAGGAAUAUUGGUCAAUGGGCGAGAGCCUGAACCAGCCAAGUCGCGUGAAGGACGACGGUAUUAUGUAUUGUAAACUUCUUUUAUAAGGGAAUAAAGUUAGGGACGUGUCCUUAUUUGUAUGUACCUUAUGAAUAAGCAUCGGCUAACUCCGUGCCAGCAACCGCGGUAAUACGGAGGAUGCGAGCGUUAUCCGGAUUUAUUGGGUUUAAAGGGUGCGUAGGCGGAUUGAUAAGUCAGCGGUGAAAUCUUGGAGCUCAACUUCGAAACUGCCGUUGAAACUGUUAAUCUUGAGUGUGAACGAGGUAGGCGGAAUUCGUGGUGUAGCGGUGAAAUGCAUAGAUAUCACGAAGAACUCCGAUAGCGCAGGCAGCUUACCAGAUCACAACUGACGCUGAAGCACGAAAGUGUGGGUAUCAAACAGGAUUAGAUACCCUGGUAGUCCACACAGUAAACGAUGAAUACUCACUGUUUGCGAUAUACAGCAAGCGGUCAAGCGAAAGCGUUAAGUAUUCCACCUGGGGAGUACGCCGGCAACGGUGAAACUCAAAGGAAUUGACGGGGGCCCGCACAAGCGGAGGAACAUGUGGUUUAAUUCGAUGAUACGCGAGGAACCUUACCCGGGCUCGAACGGCAGUGGAAUAAUGUAGAAAUAUGUUAGCUAGUAAUAGCCGCUGUCGAGGUGCUGCAUGGUUGUCGUCAGCUCGUGCCGUGGGGUGUCGGCUUAAGUGCCAUAACGAGCGCAACCCUUAUCUUUAGUUACCAUCAGGUUAAGCUGGGGACUCUAGAGAGACUGCCACCGUAAGGUGUGAGGAAGGUGGGGAUGACGUCAAAUCAGCACGGCCCUUACGUCCGGGGCUACACACGCGUUACAAUGGGAGGGACAAAGGGCAGCUACCAGGCGACUGGAUGCUAAUCUCCAAACCCUCUCCCAGUUCGGAUUGGAGUCUGCAACUCGACUCCAUGAAGCUGGAUUCGCUAGUAAUCGCGCAUCAGCCAUGGCGCGGUGAAUACGUUCCCGGGCCUUGUACACACCGCCCGUCAAGCCAUGAAAGCCGGGAGUACCUGAAGUACGUAACCGCAAGGAUCGUCCUAGGGUAAUACUGGUAAUUGGGGCU
rnacentral:rRNA from 1 species